UCAAGUGAGGUAAGGGCAUAUGGUGGAUGCCUCGGCACUUGGAGCCGAAGAAGGACGCGGCAAGCGGCGAAACGCUCCGGGGAGCCGCAAGCGGGCGAAGAUCCGGAGGUCUCCGAAUGGGGGAACCCACUCGAGGUAAUACUCGAGUAUCCACUGAUGAACACAUAGUCAGUGGAGGGGAACCGCGCGAACUGAAACAUCUAAGUAGCGCGAGGAAAAGAAAGAAAGGAAUCGAUUCCCUAAGUAGCGGCGAGCGAAAGGGGAGGAGCCCAAACCCGGCACUCAAGUGGACAUGGAAUUAUAGGCAAAAAAGAUGAUAUAAUACGUGUCCACUUGAGUGCCGGGGGUUAGGACCCACCGUAAAAGUGAGUGAGUACUCUAGGCGAACGGAUCUGGAAAGGCCGGCCGAAGAAGGUGAAAGCCCUGUAGUCGAAAGGGGAAAGCUUGCUGGUGGGGACCAGAGUACCACGGGAUAGGCGACCCUGUGGGAAGGCGGGAGGACCACCUCCCAAGGCUAAAUACUACCAAGUGACCGAUAGCGGAUAGUACCGUGAGGGAAAGGUGAAAAGAACCCCGGGAGGGGAGUGAAAGAGAACCUGAAACCAUAUGCCUACAAGCAGUCAGAGUCUGCCGUAAGGCAGAUGAUGGCGUACUUUUUGUAGAACGGGCCGGCGAGUUACGGUAGCAAGCGAGGUUAAGCGGUAAGCGGAGCCGAAGCGAAAGCGAGUCCGAAAAGGGCGAAAGUUUGCUGCUGUAGACCCGAAACCGUGCGACCUACCCAUGGCCAGGGUGAAGCCGGAGUAAGAUCUGGUGGAGGCCCGAACCACGUUGGCGUUGAAAAGCCAUGGGAUGAGCUGUGGGUAGAGGUGAAAUGCCAAUCGAGCACGGAGAUAGCUGGUUCUCCCCGAAAUAGCUUUAGGGCUAGCCUCAGGGUAGGACCUAUGGAGGUAGAGCACUGAAUGGGCUAGGGGCCAAGGAGGUUACCGAACCCUAUCAAACUCCGAAUGCCAUAGGUUAAUACCUGGGAGUCAGACUACGAGUGAUAAGAUCCGUAGUCGAGAGGGGAACAGCCCAGACCUCCAGCUAAGGUCCCAAAGGGCAUGUUAAGUGGUAAAGGAAGUGGGACUUCGAAGACAACCAGGAUGUUGGCUUAGAAGCAGCCAUACAUUUAAAGAGUGCGUAACAGCUCACUGGUCGAGAGGUCCUGCGCCGAAAAUGAACGGGGCUCAAACAUGCCACCGAAGCUGGGGCUAAACAGAAGUCAGAUGUGAGAGGUCAGAGGUGAGAAAAUGAUAAAGACGUAUAAGGAUCUCUUCCGACAUCUGACUUCUGUUUGGGGUAGGGGAGCGUACUGUACGGGUAGAAGGCCAAGCGGAAGCGAGGCUGGACUGUACAGUAGAGAGAAUGCCGGCAUGAGUAACGAGAGUAAGGUGAGAAACCUUACCGCCGGAAGCCUGAGGUUUCCUGGGGAAGGGUAAUCCACCCAGGGUAAGUCGGGGCCUAAGCCGAGGCUUAAAGCGUAGGCGAUGGGGAACCGGUAGAUAUUCCGGUACCACCGAGGGCCGCAAAGAGAUGCGGGGACGCAGCGAGAUAGGUGGAGCGUGCGGUUGGUAGGGCACGUUCAAUCAGGCACCGAAGGGUACGUAGGCAAAUCCGCGUACUGGCAGGGGUCUGAGAAGGGGAGCCGGAAGGCGAAGCCACCGAAGCAGCUGCCGAGAAAAGCCGCUAUCGAGGCCUGAGGUGCCCGUACUACAAACCGACACAGGUAGGCGAGGAGAGAAUCCACAGGCGAGCGGGAGAACCCUCAUUAAGGAACUCGGCAAAAUGACUCCGUAACUUCGGGAGAAGGAGUGCCGAAAGGCCGCAGAGAAGAGGCCCAAGCGACUGUUUACCAAAAACACAGGUCUCUGCUAAGUCGGAAGACGAAGUAUAGGGGCUGACGCCUGCCCGGUGCUGGAAGGUUAAGGGGAAGUGUGAGAGCACUGAACCGAAGCCCCAGUGAACGGCGGCCGUAACUAUAACGGUCCUAAGGUAGCGAAAUUCCUUGUCGGGUAAGUUCCGACCCGCACGAAAGGCGUAACGACUUGGGCGCUGUCUUGAUGAGGGGCCCGGUGAAAUUGUAGUACUCGUGAAGAUGCGAGUUACCCGCGAUUGGACAGAAAGACCCCGUGGAGCUUUACUGUAGCCUGUCACUGGAUUUUGGUAAUUCUUGUACAGGAUAGGUGGGAGACAGAGAAGGUAGGGCGCCAGCCUUACUGGAGUCGACGUUGGGAUACCACCCUGGGAUUACCGGAAUUCUAACCUAUAGCCGUGAAACCGGCGUAGGGACAAUGGCAGGUGGGCAGUUUGACUGGGGCGGUCGCCUCCUAAAGGGUAACGGAGGCGCCCAAAGGUUACCUCAGCGCGGACGGGAAUCGCGCGAAAGAGUGCAAAGGCAGAAGGUAGCCUGACUGCGAGAGAGACAUCUCGAGCAGGGACGAAAGUCGGGCUUAGUGAUCCGGCGGCAGUGAGUGGGAACGCCGUCGCUCAACGGAUAAAAGCUACCCCGGGGAUAACAGGCUGAUCUCCCCCAAGAGUCCACAUCGACGGGGAGGUUUGGCACCUCGAUGUCGGCUCAUCGCAUCCUGGGGCUGAAGUAGGUCCCAAGGGUUGGGCUGUUCGCCCAUUAAAGCGGUACGCGAGCUGGGUUCAGAACGUCGUGAGACAGUUCGGUCCCUAUCCGUCGCGGGCGUAGGAAACUUGAGAGGCACUGCCCCUAGUACGAGAGGACCGGGGUGGACGAACCGAUGGUGUACCAGUUGCACCGCCAGGUGCACAGCUGGGUAGCCAAGUUCGGAAGGGAUAAACGCUGAAAGCAUCUAAGCGUGAAGCCCGCCUCAAGAUUAGGUUUCCCAUCCGAGAGGGGUAAGACACCUCGAAGACUACGAGGUAGAUAGGCCGGGGGUGUAAGAGUGGAAACACUCUUAGCUGACCGGUACUAAUCAGUCGAGGACUUGACCGA
rnacentral:rRNA from 1 species